rnacentral:rRNA from 1 species
ACGGGAGGCAGCAGUGGGGAAUAUUGGGCAAUGGGCGAAAGCCUGACCCAGCAACGCCGCGUGAAGGAAGAAGGUUUUCGGAUUGUAAACUUCUUUUAUCAGGGACGAAGAAAGUGACGGUACCUGAUGAAUAAGCCACGGCUAACUACGUGCCAGCAGCCGCGGUAAUACGUAGGUGGCAAGCGUUAUCCGGAUUUACUGGGUGUAAAGGGCGCGUAGGCGGGGAUGCAAGUCAGGUGUGAAAGCCAUGGGCUCAACCCAUGAACUGCAUUGGAAACUGUCUUGCUUGAGUGUCGGAGAGGUAAGCGGAAUUCCUAGUGUAGCGGUGAAAUGCGUAGAUAUUAGGAGGAACACCAGUGGCGAAGGCGGCUUACUGGACGAUAACUGACGUUGAGGCUCGAAAGCGUGGGGAGCAAACAGGAUUAGAUACCCUGGUA